rnacentral:lncRNA from 1 species
ACCCAGCUAAAAUGGGCAUUCUUAGUUUGCAUUUCUCUCUCUUUUCCUUCAAACCCACAUGACAGUCUGAUUCUUAAGAUUUCCCAAUUAAAAAUUAAUCAGCUGAGAAAAUGGAACAAUUUUUUAUUAUCCCUUUUGGUCAAUAUUUGAAAGACCAAUUAAAUAGACUUCCAUGACUAUACAACACCAGAAGAGGAAAUCCAAUCAAAACCAAACCCCAUAUGAAAAACAUGUAAAUCAAGCAAACUUACCAAUACCCAAGAUCAAAUUUUUCCAGCUUAGCAAAAUCCAUAAUCUCAAAUAAGGCCAUAAUAACCAAAAAAGCACCAACCUUGUGAGAAAUCCAAGCUUCUUCCUGUCAUUCUAGCCAAGAACCAAGAAACCAACUUGUGGGCACAUUUUGAAUCCGCAAAAUAUAACUUCCUUUG